rnacentral:lncRNA from 1 species
UGAGCGACCUAAAAAGUGAAUUGAAGAAAAGGAGUUUACCUGUCUCCGGUGCCAAACCACAAUUGAUCGAGAGGUUAAAACCUUUCACCGAAUCUGGUCAACAACAGCUGAAAGCAAACAUCAUGAACUCACCACCGAAUGUCACAACUUUCACCAUUCCAUCAGAAGAUUCUUUAUCUGCAUCGUCUCCCUCAGCCACACAGCCAAUGUCAAUGGGAUCACUAGAUCCUGAUAGUCCUUGUGAAUCUAUACCAAUGGCCCGGACAGUCCUGCUGAGUCGAUAGGGACAAGCAUCAGUAGUGUAGUUAAUGAAGCCAAAGAAGAAACUAUUCGAGAACAAAAUAGGAGAAUUGAAGAGCUGGAAAGACAGUUGCUCAAUUCGCAGAAGCUCAUUAAAAUUCAUGAAAUGCAGCAACAGCAACAACAACAAACCAUCAUCAACAGCAACAACAACAGCAGCAGCAGCAGCCAAUGCAAGCACAGCAGCUCAAUCAACAAAACAACAGCAGCAAGAACCUGUCAAGCAAGUCACACAAGUUCACACAUUCCAGCCUCAACAAACUGCCAGUGUUGCUGCAAAUCUUGCUGCAUUCCUUCAACAUAAACAAUUGAAUCAACUUCUAAUGCAACAGCAGCAACAACAGCAACAACAACAGCAGCAGCAGCAUCAUCAUCAACAACAGCAGCAGCAGCAGCAGCAGCAGCCGCCACAAAUAAUUCUAACUGGAAAGAGCGAUAGUGAUUUGAUAGAUAAUAGGGCUAAUGGCAAUAUUAAUAGUAGUAGCAAAACCAAUAAAACUAGUAACAGUAGUAAAAAUAGUAUUAAUAAUAACAAUAAUAAUUUGAGCAUAAGUAAUAAAAAUGGUGUAAAUAGUACAAGUUUCUCCGGUGGUGCUGAUAUCAACAUCAAUCUAGGAACAACUCCUUUUAGCUCCCUAAAAAGUAAUAAUAUAAUUAAUUGUAAUAGUCUUGGCAAUAGCAAUCAAACAAGUGGUAAAACUCAAAGGAGUAAUACUAUUGUCCUCGGUCAAGAACAGGCUGCUUUGGUUCUGAGCCGCCUCCAACAGAACUCUGAAAAUAAUUUUUCACAUAUCAGAACUGCUUCGUUGCCAGACUUCCUUGGAACUUUUGUUCAACCCGCUCAAUUACUGGUUUCGUCGUUACCUCAACCUGCAACAAACUUAAACACUGUGAUUAGUGCUUCACCACAAGCGAUUGAUGAUAGUCAAAUCACGCUCUCAAAUAACAAAAUCAAUCUGGUGCCAAUUCAAGUUGAUUCUUUCAAACAGUUCAUUGAUGACAGCACAGUAUGCAGAUCUCCAUUCAAUGAUCACUCAGCAAAAUUGAUUAAACCUGAGGAGGAACCCUCAGACAAGUGCGAAUCAACUUUAGAAGAUGUCAUCGAAAUACUGAUCAAACAGGGUGAACUGUCUCCAUCAGCGGUCCAGGAAUCGCCGAAUAUUUUGAGCAAUGAUAUCAUUCCUUCAGAAGGUCCUGUAUUCCCGAUCAGUUCUGACUUAAAUCAAGACUCAUCCCAAAUGAUGCAUUGUGAUGAUUCAGCCAUGCAAUUAGAUUUAAAAGAUUUAGGAAUAAAUUUGUUCGACUCCAGCUGUAAAAUGGAAGUUGAGAAUGAAAACCCAUCAAGUAUGGACAUUGAUGACUCCGACUGGCUAAAUAUUCUCGGAGUCUUGGAAACAAACAGUCAUCAAGUGCCAUCAGCCAAUAAUAACCCAUUUGAUCUGGAAAAUCCAUUGAUGGUCAUUGAUAAUCAUCAAGAUUCAUUUAGCUCUUUCAAUUUUGAUGAUCAUGACUUUAGAAUACCCAAUGACAUAGCCUUGGAUUAUAUAGAUUUUGCUACAUAA